rnacentral:rRNA from 1 species
CCUACGGGGUGCUGCAGUGAGGAAUAUUGGUCAAUGGACGAGAGUCUGAACCAGCCAAGUAGCGUGAAGGAUGACUGCCCUAUGGGUUGUAAACUUCUUUUAUAAAGGAAUAAAACGAGGCACGUGUGCCUUUUUGCAUGUACUUUAUGAAUAAGGAUCGGCUAACUCCGUGCCAGCAGCCGCGGUAAUCCGGAGGAUCCGAGCGUUAUCCGGAUUUAUUUGGUUUAAAGGGAGCGUAGAUGGGUUGUUAAGUCAGUUGUGAAAGUUUGCGGCUCAACCGUAAAAUUGCAAGUGAUACUGGCAGUCUUGAGUACAGUUGAGGUAAGCGGAAUUCGUGGUGUAGCGGUGAAAUGCUUAGAUAUCACGAAGAACCCCGAUUGCGAAGGCAGCUUACUAAACUGUGACUGACAUUGAUGCUCGAAAGUGUGGGUAUCAAACAGGAUUAGAUACCCUAGUAGUC